UAAUAAGUGUUUUACUGCACUUUUUAAAAAUAGUACUCACCUUGUGUGCAAUGUUGUGUUUCUUUUCGGAGAAACACCUACACCAACCUAUAACCUUGAACCACUUUGUCUGAAAAACUAUUAUGAAUACUUAAUUCAAAAUA
rnacentral:misc_RNA from 2 species